rnacentral:rRNA from 1 species
AUGGCUCCAAGACCUCCACCCUUCUACCUCCUCGCCGUCGUCUUCUUCCUCCUCCCCGUCCAGCCACCUCCCACCGCCGACGCGGCAACCACCGUCGCCUUCUCCUUCCCGUCCUUCUCCCUCCGAAACCUCACCCUCCUCGGCGGGGCCUCGCUCCGCUCCGCCUCCGUGUCCCUCCCGCCGCCCUCCUCCCACGCCCUCUUCCCGCUCCCUCUCCCGUUCCCCCCCAACGCCUCCUUCUCCACCUCCUUUCUCUUCGCCUCCCCGGCCUCCGCGCGCCCCGCCUCCCGCCUCUCCUUCGUGCUCCUCCCCGACCCGGUCGCCGCCGCCGAGGGCACGGGCGGGAACAGGUCUCUCCCGCUCGAGGUGGCGUUCGACGCGUCGAAGAAUCGCGUGCACACGUCCUCCGCUGGCAAGCACAUCGGCGGGAACUCCACCGGGGCGGUGGACCUGCGGAACGGCAACGAGGUCGGUUCGUGGGUCAUCUACGACGCGCUCCGGACUCGCCUGGAGGUGUUCCUUAGCCACGCGAGUCUGCGGCCGCCGACGCCCGCGCUGGUGGUACCCAACACCACGGCCCUUGCGGCCCGCUUCGCGGAGUUCAUGUUCGUCGGCUUCCAGGUCUCGUGCUCGUCCGACAACGGGAGCACCGAUGGCGGCUUCGUCAUCCACAGCUGGAGCUUCCAGACGAACGGGCUGCGCGCCGUCGGCCUCGCGUCCAGACCCUCGCACAGCGUGUCCGACAGCGUCCGCAGGGCCCCCGCGUCGGGGGAUGUCGCUGUCGCCAGCCGUAAGGACGGGCACCGCAGAAGGCUUGCAAUGGGGCUCGGCAUUCCUUUGCCCAUCGUGUUUCUCGGUGCAGUCAUGGUGUUUGUGAUAUUGUCUAUGAAGAAGUGGAGGUCUCGUCCUGCAGGGUUUAACGGCGGCGUCAGAGCAAAAGCAGCGGGCCAUCCAAGGCAGUUCAUGUACCAAGAUCUCUUCUCGGCGACCAAGGGAUUUGAUCCUUCUCUAGUGGUUGGCAGUGGUGGUUUCGGUACUGUAUACAAGGCGGUGUGCCCGCGCUCUGGGGUCACAUAUGCGGUCAAGCGCUCCAAGCAAUCCACGGAGAGCCACAACGAGUUCACCGCCGAGCUUACCAUAAUCGCUGACCUGAAGCACCCUAAUCUGGUUCAGCUGCGAGGGUGGUGCGCGGAGAAGGACGAGCUGCUGCUUGUGUACGAGUUCAUGUCAAAUGGCAGCCUGGACAUGGCUCUCCACUCUUGCUCAGGUGUCCACCGUUAUCCCACUCUCAACUGGGCUCGCCGGUACAAUGUGGCAGUCGGCAUUGCCUCUGCGGUUGCAUACCUACAUGAAGAACAUGACAAGCAGGUGAUCCACAGGGAUAUCAAGUGCAGUAACAUACUUCUGGAUUCGCAUUUCAAUCCCAAGUUGGGGGAUUUUGGGCUUGCAAGGUUGAAGGAUCCUAGUACUAGCCCUCGGUCAACCUUAGCAGCAGGGACUGUUGGUUACCUUGCCCCUGAGUACCUCCAGAUGGGAAGAGCCACAGAAAAGAGCGAUGUCUACAGCUAUGGGGUUGUACUGCUGGAGAUCUGCACACGAAGGCGGCCAAUAGACCGAGAAGCUCCUGGCAGCAUGAACAUGCUGAAUGUUGUUGAUUGGGUUUGGAAUUUGCACUCUAAGGGCAGGCUUUUAGAUGCUGUUGAUAUGAGCCUGAAUGGGGAGUAUGACACAGAGCAAAUGACGAGGCUGCUUCUUCUAGGUUUGAGCUGUGUGAAUCCCUUUUCAGAAGAGAGACCUGUCAUGAGGAAUGUUCUAGGCAUACUGGAGGGCAAGAGUGAGCCACUGCCUGUUCCGAAAAAGAAGCCGCUGCUUGUUUUCGUUUCAAAUGCACCUAUGGAUCUUGAGGGGAUAGUUUCUGAGUGCAAUCAGAGUACAGUUUCAAGUGAUCUCUUUGAGCUGAAAAUCGAUAUAAACUAG